rnacentral:lncRNA from 1 species
AGACUAUCGCAUGCUGACUCCUUGUCUAGAAUAUGCGUGGAAAGACACAAACCACUCUGCCCCCUUCCUCCUGAAAUCUCUUCCAAAUAUAGUGCUGGCGAGGACAUUCAGUAAUUUAUUGGGAGUCUUGACGCACAGACUACAAAGACUCUAGGUGGAUUGAGCCCAUACACAUAUGAUAUAAAUAAAUAAAUGAUGGAAUAAAUUAAUAAGAGGGGGAGAAGAGACAGAUCUCAAGGCUUGAUCCUGAGGCCAGAUGUACCACUGUGGUACUGCUGAUUGUGAGGAGCUCCAGGGAGUGGUGUAUCCUUGAACAUUUUAUCCUGGGUGUCCGAUAGGUGGAGGUUCUGAAGACUAGAACGUCAGCAAGGAUAUACAGUGCUCGGCCAUCGCAUAAGACGCCUGGGGAGAGAAUGGUGCCAAUUUGCAGAAAAUAGGAAAAAGAGGGUGUUCGGAUUCCUCCCCACAAUGACUGAGUCCACCUUUGGAGACACCCUUCUUUGGGUGAAGUAUCACCUUCCCAGCCUUUCUACCGAGGGCCCAGACGACAGCGGGUCCUACCAGCCCGACCAGACCACAUGGACAGGACAGCAGGGCAUAAAGGAGCUGAGGAGGUGA